rnacentral:rRNA from 1 species
UUCUGGUUGAUCCCGCCGGACCUGACUGCUAUCGGAUUGAUACUAAGCCAUGCGAGUCAUUGUAGUAAUACAAGGCAGACGGCUCAGUAACGCGUAGUCAACCUACCCUAUGGACGGGGAUAACCUCGGGAAACUGAGAAUAAUACCCGAUAGAACAUUAUGCCUGGAAUGGUUUAUGUUUCAAAUAAUUUAUUGCCGUAGGAUGGGACUGCGGCCUAUCAGUUUGUUGGUGAGGUAAUGGCCCACCAAGACUAUUACAGGUACGGGCUCUGAGAGGAGUGGCCCGGAGAUGGGUACUGAGACACGGACCCAGGCCCUAUGGGGCGCAGCAGGCGAGAAAACUUUGCAAUGUGCGAAAGCACGACAAGGUUAAUCCGAGUGGUUUCUGCUAAAGGAACCUUUUGUCAGUCCUAGAAACACUGAUGAAUAAGGGGUGGGCAAGUUCUGGUGUCAGCCGCCGCGGUAA